ACCCGCUGAACUUAAGCAUAUCAAUAAGCGGAGGAAAAGAAACUAACAAGGAUUCCCCUAGUAACUGCGAGUGAAGAGGGAAAAGCUCAAAUUUGAAAUCUGGUGGCCCCUGUGGCCGUCCGAGUUGUAAUUUAGAGAAGUGCUAUCCGCGUUGGACCGUGUACAAGUCUCCUGGAAUGGAGCGUCAUAGAGGGUGAGAAUCCCGUCUUUGACACGGAUCACCAGGGCUUAUGUGAUGCGCUCUCGAAGAGUCGAGUUGUUUGGGAAUGCAGCUCAAAAUGGGUGGUAAAUUCCAUCUAAAGCUAAAUAUUGGCGAGAGACCGAUAGCGAACAAGUACCGUGAGGGAAAGAUGAAAAGAACUUUGAAAAGAGAGUUAAACAGUACGUGAAAUUGUUGAAAGGGAAACGCUUGAAGUCAGUCGCGUCGUCCAGGGAUCAACCUUGCAUCAUUUGCUGGGUGUACUUCCUGGUUGACGGGUCAGCAUCGAUUUCGACCGUCGGAAAAAGGUCAAGGGAAUGUGGCAUCUUCGGAUGUGUUAUAGCCCUUGGUUCGCAUACGACGGUUGGGAUCGAGGAACUCAGCACGCCGCAAGGCCGGGGUUCGCCCACGUACGUGCUUAGGAUGCUGGCAUAAUGGCUUUAAUCGACCCGUCUUGAAACACGG
rnacentral:rRNA from 1 species